CCUACGGGUGGCAGCAGUGGGGAAUAUUGGGCAAUGGGCGCAAGCCUUACCCAGCAAUACCGCGUGAGUGAAGAAGGUCUUCGGAUUGUAAAGCUCUUUGAUCAGGGACGAACAGAUGACGGUACCUGAAGAACAAGCCCCGGCUAACUACGUGCCAGCAGCCGCGGUAAAACGUAGGGGGCGAGCGUUGUCCGGAAUGACUGGGCGUAAAGGGUGCGUAGGCGGCAUAAUAAGUUAGAAGUGAAAUACCCAGAGCUUAACUCGGGUGCUGCUUCUAAGACUGUUGAGCUUGAGUGCGGGAGAGGUUAAUGGAAUUCCUAGUGUAGGAGUGAAAUCCGUAGAUAUCUGGAGGAACAUCAGUGGCGAAGGCGACUAUCUGGCACAUAACUGACGCUGAGGAGCGAAAGCGUGGGUAGCAAACAGGAUUAGAUACCCGAGUAGUC
rnacentral:rRNA from 1 species